rnacentral:rRNA from 1 species
UACGGGGGGGGGUAAGCGUUGUUCGGAAUUACUGGGCGUAAAGGGCGCGUAGGCGGUGUGUCAAGUCAGGCGUGAAAGCCCCGGGCUCAACCUGGGAACCGCGCUUGAGACUGGCACGCUAGAGUUCGGGAGAGGAUGGUGGAAUUCCCAGUGUAGAGGUGAAAUUCGUAGAUAUUGGGAAGAACACCGAUGGCGAAGGCAGCCAUCUGGGACCGACACUGACGCUGAGGCGCGAAAGCCAGGGGAGCAAAGCGGGAU